rnacentral:rRNA from 1 species
CGCGUGGGAAUCUGCCCUUGGGUUCGGAAUAACAGUGAGAAAUUGCUGCUAAUACCGGAUGAUGUCUUCGGACCAAAGAUUUAUCGCCCAGGGAUGAGCCCGCGUAGGAUUAGCUAGUUGGUGGGGUAAUGGCCUACCAAGGCGACGAUCCUUAGCUGGUCUGAGAGGAUGAUCAGCCACACUGGGACUGAGACACGGCCCAG